GUAAUCAUAUGCUUGUCUCAAAGAUUAAGCCAUGCAUGUCUAAGUAUAAGCAAUUAUACCGUGAAACUGCGAAUGGCUCAUUAAAUCAGUUAUCGUUUAUUUGAUAGUACCUUACUACUUGGAUAACCGUGGUAAUCCUAGAGCUAAUACAUGCUGAAAACCCCAACUUCGGAAGGGGUGUAUUUAUUAGAUAAAAAACCAAUGCCCUUCGGGGCUCCUUGGUGAUUCAUAAUAACUUCUCAGAUCGCAUGGCCUUGCGCCGGCGACGGUUCAUUCAAAUUUCUGCCCUAUCAACUUUCGAUGGUAAGGUAUUGGCUUACCAUGGUUUCAACGGGUAACGGGGAAUUAGGGUUCGAUUCCGGAGAGGGAGCCUGAGAAACGGCUACCACAUCCAAGGAAGGCAGCAGGCGCGCAAAUUACCCAAUCCCGACACGGGGAGGUAGUGACAAUAAAUACUGAUACAGGGCUCUUUUGGGUCUUGUAAUUGGAAUGAGUACAAUUUAAACCUCUUAACGAGGAACAAUUGGGGGGCGAGUCUGGUGCCAGCAGCC
rnacentral:rRNA from 1 species